CAAUGGGGAGUAACCUACAGGAUUGCAGACGUGGAAAUUGCAUACGCCGAUGGAUACAUCUCGCCAUCAUUGAUCAGAGCCGUUCUUUUCUAAGCCAAUGAGGAGCCACCACUAAGAUCGCAGACUGAUUAAUCCUACACCGUUUGAUUUACUGAACUUACUUUGAUCAGAACCGUUCAUUUGUUUUUCUCAUUCUCUUCUCUCAGAACACAACUCCAAACAAAACAUCCUCUUUUUUCAGAACAAAUCUAAGAUCUGAAAGAUGUGUAUGUCUCGUUAUCUUUGAUUUGGAUGACUCUUAGUUCCGUUCACCGAUUGAAAUAACGCAAAUGGAUAAGACGUGGGUUUGGCUGCCAAGGUAUAACCUAAGAUCUCUCGAGCUCACUUGUAUUCACCGAUUGAAAGAAAGCUAACUACUUUUUCUGAUAUAUCAUGUAGGAAUAGUGACGAGUACUCAGAAGGAGCAACUAAUUUCGUGUAUUCAUCAGCAAGAAGAUUGGGAAAUCUGUCUGAAAUGCUGUGUCCUUGCAGAGACUGCCGCAAUUUAAGCCAUCAGCUAGUUGAUAAAAUAGUCGAGCAUCUAGUGAUUAGGGGUAUGGAUAAGAAGUACAAGAGCUCUUGUUGGAGUAUUCAUGGUGAAAAAAGAGAAUCUAAAGAAGACACUGGUCCUGGCAAUGAAAGGGAGGCAUAUGAGUUGUUUAAGACAGCAUUCUCCAUGGAUGAAGAUGGUCCAAAUCAGACGAAUGAAAGUGGGGUGGAGCCAAAUGAUGGUGAUGAAGCAGCAGAGGAAACUGAGUUUAGGAAAAAGUUAAGAGACGCUGAAACGCCAUUGUACUCGGAUUGUAUACAAUCAAACACACGAAGGUUUCAGCAAUCAUGGGACUUUACAGAUUCAAGGUUAAAAGUGGUGUGUCUGAGAAUUACUUCGAUCAGCUGUUGGUUUUGCUUAAGGAUAUGCUACCUGAAGACAAUGUGCUUCCAAAGAGUAUGGAUGCAAUCAAGAAAUUUCUGAAGAUCUUUGGGUUCGGCUACGACAAUAUUCAUGCUUGCAAGAAUGAUUGCAUACUGUAUAGGAAGGAGUAUGAGAACCUACAAAGCUGUCCAAGAUGCAAAGUUUCAAGAUGGGAAAUGGAUAAGCACAGUAAUGAGAUAAAUGUGGGGAUUCCGGCAAAGGUCCUUAGAUAUUUUCCAAUCAAGGACAGGUUUAGGAGGAUGUUUAGAUCAAAGAGGAUGGCUGAAGAUCUGCGUUGGCACUAUACCAAUGCGACUGAAGAUGGUACGAUGCGACACCCCGUUGAUUCUAUCUCUUGGGCACAAGUGAAUGAUAAAUGGCCAGACUUUGCUGCUGAACCAAGGAAUCUUCGACUUGGAAUUUCUACAGAUGGGAUGAACCCUUUCUCCAUGCAAAACACCAAUCACAACACAUGGCCAGUGUUGUUAGUGAACUACAACACGCCUCCAACGAUGUGUAUGAAGGCUGAGAAUAUAAUGUUGACAUUGCUGAUCCCUGGUCCAACAGCUCCUGGUAAUAACAUAGAUGUCUACUUAGCACCAUUAAUAGAUGAUCUGAAAGAUUUGUGGGCUGAGGGUAUUGAAGUCUAUGACUCAUUUGCGAAGGAGAAUUUCACACUUAGAGCCUUGCUGCUUUGGAGUAUCAGUGACUAUCCAGCAUUAGGAACCUUGUCUGGAUGUAAAGUGAAGGGGAAACAAGCAUGCAAUGUAUGUGGAAAGGAUACACCUUCUAGGUGGCUUAAGUUCAGCCGCAAGUUUGUCUACAUGGGAAAUAGAAAGAGACUACCGCCUGGCCAUCGUUACAGAUAUAAAAAAGCUUGGUUCGACAACACAGUGGAGGAAGGGAAUGCGAGUAGGAUACAAACUGGCGCUGAGAUAUAUGAGACAUUACAAGCUUUUAGGAAUGAUUUUGGAAGACCUCUAGAUAAGGAGAAAAAAAGGAGAAGACCAGAGUUGGAAGAUGAUGAGAUGGUUCAAGAAGAAGAGUGUGAAGAAGAAGAGUGUGAAGAAUCAAAUGAUCUAUGGCGGUGGAAGAAGAGAUCAAUAUUCUUUGAACUAUCUUACUGGAAGGUAAAGCAUAGUAAUCAUGAACUAUAUUCUCUCCUUCUUGUAUAUGAAUAUGCCUAACAGUUUCUUGUUUAAUGUCUUAGGAUAUGCAUGUUCGUCAUAAUAUUGACGUUAUGCACGUUGAAAAGAAUGUGUCGGAUGCUAUACUGUCUAUCUUGAUGCAAAGUUCGAAGUCAAAAGAUGGUUUGAAAGCAAGAAAAGACUUAGCAGAUAUUGGAAUCAGAAGUCACUUGCACACAGAGGUUAGGAGUUCGAAAACAUACUUACCUCCAGCAUCGUAUUGGCUAUCGAAGAAAGAGAAGACCAUUUUCUGCAAAAGGUUAUCUCAGUUUAGAGGUCCUGAUGGUUAUUGUGGAAAUAUUGCAAAUAGUGUUUCAGUUAACCCUCCUAAUUUAGGUAGUUUAAAGUCGCAUGAUCAUCACGUGCUAGUACAGAACUUGUUACCAGCUGCAUUAAGAGGGUUGUUGCAUAGUGGUCCUAGGAUUGCCAUUAACAGAUUAUGCAGCUACUUUAACAGGUUGUGCCAACGCAUCAUUGACCCGGAGAAACUUAUAUUAAUGGAGACAGAGUUUGUGGAAACAAUGUGUCAACUGGAGCGCUUCUUCCCUCCAUCUCUUUUUGAUAUCAUGUUCCACCUUCCAAUACAUCUCUCAAAAGAGGCACGCUUGGGAGGACCAGUUCACUUCCGCUGGAUGUAUCCAUUUGAAAGGUACAUGAAAACACUAAAGGCCUUUGUUAAGAAUUAUGCAAGGCCAGAAGCAUGUAUGGCUGAGGGGUAUUUAGCUGGAGAAUGUGUUGCAUUUUGUUUAGAGUUCCUUCAAGAUUUAGUACAAGUUCAAGAACCAGUUAAUCGUAAUGAAGAUAUUGAGGCUGAUAGAGUCGUGGUUGAAGGUCGACCUCUGCAGAAGGGAGUAAAGGUCACCCUUUCAGAUAAAGAUAGAGACAUUGCUCAUCGCUAUGUGCUAAUGAACAUGGCAUCUAUGGAUCCCUAUGUUGAGAUGCAUUUAGAAGAAUUACAAGCUAAUGAUGCUCGAUGUGCUAGAAAUGAAACUCUGCUGUGGAAACACCAUACUGAGUAGUUUGCAGAAUGGGUUAAAAAAAAGAUUCAGUCAGACUCAACAAAUAGUCAUUCUAAGGAGUUGAGGUGGUUGGCAUUCGGACCAAGAAAUGCUGCUUUAGCAUAUAAAGGGUUUAUUAUUAAGGGCCAGCGGUUUCAUACGGAUGCGGUUAAGCGGAAGACUCAAAACAGUGGAGUAAGUUAUGAAGCAUUUAGCAUGUGUAGAUCAAGUGCUCGAGAUAUGAGACAAGUUGCUGAUAUGCUUACAUAUUAUGGAGUUAUAAAGGAGAUUUUACUGCUGGACUAUCACAUGUUCAAAGUACCGCUGUUCAGAUGCAAUUGGGCUAACACAGGGAAUGGUGUGAAGGAAGAAGAUGGCUUCACUCUCGUUAACCUUCAUAUGAACCAGGCAGCUUAUUUGAAAGAUCCGUUCAUUCUGCCCUCUCAAGCAAAACAGGUUUUCUACUCUAGGGAAGAUGAUAAUUGUAAUUGGUAUGUUGUUAUGAGAGCACCACCUAGAGGCUACCAUGAGUUGGAAACAGAAGAGGUUUUAGGUGCUGCAGCUUUACCUGUCCAAGAAGUCGAUGAUCUGUGUGAUGAAGCUUCUGAUGAUGAUAGUCUUUAUGUUAGGGAUGAUUGUGAAGGGUUGUUAGUGGUAGAUUGAUAAUAUUUCAUUUUGUAGUGUUGAUGGUUUGUUUAAACAAGGAAAUGUAUUACGCUGGCCUUUUU